AGCUUUGCGCAGUGGCAGUAUCGUAGCCAAUGAGGUUUAUCCAAGGUGCAAUUAUUGCUAAUUGAAACCUUUUCUUUAAAAGUAUGGAGUAAACACACAGUCUUGUCUCACACUGAAUGCAGCUACAAUAUGUGGACAGAAUUCAUGAAGCAGUUAUUUGAGGACU
rnacentral:snRNA from 1 species